UUCUAUAGUCAUACCACUUUGAAUGCAUUGUUUUUCAUCUGACCUCAGAAACUAAGCAGGGUUGGGCCUGGUUAGACUCGGAUGGGAGAAAAUACUACAAGUUCAGGUGAAGGUGAUUGGGGAUA
rnacentral:rRNA from 1 species